rnacentral:rRNA from 1 species
AUGGCGAGCUCCGGCGAGGACAGGGGCGUGGUGGUGGACAUCCGCUCCGCGGCGGAGUCGGCGGGCGACGACGGCGCGCGCGACGCGCCGCUCCACGUCGUCGAGUCCCUCUGCAUGCGCUGCGGCGAGAACGGCACGACGAGGAUACUGCUGACUCUAAUCCCGCACUUCCGGGAGGUUGUUCUGAUGGCCUUCGAGUGCCCGCAUUGCAGCGAAAGGAACAAUGAGGUUCAGUUUGCGGGGCAGCUCCAGCCCAAGGGAUGCUGCUACACUUUGAAAGUCCCCAAGGGGCAGCCUGAGGUACUGAACCGCCAAGUUGUGAAAUCUGAUUCAGCAACUAUUAAGAUUCCAGAACUAGACUUUGAGAUCCCUCCAGAAGCUCAACGUGGAACACUUUCAACAGUGGAAGGGAGCAUUAUGCGAGCUGUUAGUGAGUUGCAAGCACUUCAGGAUGAAAGAAAGAAAGUGGAUCCUGAAAAGGCUGAAGCUAUUGAACAGUUCUUAGUAAAAUUGAGAUCUCUUGGAUCAGGGGAAGCUGCUUUUACCUUUAUUCUUGAUGAUGCUUCUGGUAACAGCUUCAUCGAGAACCCGAAUGCACCUUCAUCAGAUCCUUUGUUAUCUUUGAGAUUCUAUGAGAGGACAUAUGAACAACAAGCAGCACUCGGUUUUCUUGCUGAACCAACCAAAGAAUCUGGAGACUCUUCUCAGGAUGCGUCAACAGUGGAAGGAAACUCUGGUGGGCCGCAAAGGAUUCCACAUGGUUCAGUUGGAGCUGUUGCAGGUCGCCGUGCUAUAGCUCAGGGAAACUCUGAUGAAAUUACUGCAGCGCUGUGUAGAUAUUCAGCACCAGAAGAGGUUGAUACUUUACCAUCAACAUGUGCGGCUUGUGCUACUGAGUGUGUCACACGAUUCUUUUCUACAAAAAUCCCAUAUUUUCGAGAGGUGAUUGUUAUGGCUACAUCAUGUGAUGCUUGUGGCUAUCGCAACUCAGAGUUGAAGCCUGGUGGUGAAAUCCCAGCUAAAGGAAAGAAAACAACACUGAUUGUGCGAAAUGUAAAAGAUCUUAGUCGUGAUGUCAUCAAGUCAGAUUCAGCAGCAGUUAGUGUACCUGAACUUGAGUUGGAGCUGUCAAGCGGAACACUGGGUGGCAUUGUGACAACAGUUGAAGGUUUAAUUGUGAAAAUAUGCGAGGCACUGGAGCGAGUUCAUGGAUUCCAGUUGGGUGACAGCACAUAUGAAUGGAAGAAGAAGAAAUGGGAUGGUUUCACAGAGAGAUUAGCAAAGCUUCUAAAUCUAGAAGAGCCAUGGACUCUAAUUCUUGAUGACGCAUUAGCGGCUUCGUUUAUUGCUCCAGCGACAGAUUCGCUAGAAGAUGACAAACAGCUAACAAUUGAGGAGUAUGAGAGGAGCUGGGAGCAAAACGAGGAGCUGGGCUUGAAUGACAUGGACACGUCCUCUGCGGACAUGGCUUACAACACGACGAGCACGUCAUAA